rnacentral:rRNA from 1 species
CAGUAGCCGCGGUAAGACGGAGGGUGCUAGCGUUGUUCGGAAUCACUGGGCGUAAAGGGCGCGUAGGCGGCCUGUUAAGUCGGAUGUGAAAGCCCGGGGCUCAACCCCGGAACUGCAUCCGAGACUGGCAGGCUUGAGACCGGGAGAGGAGGGUGGAAUAUCCAGUGUAGAGGUGAAAUUCGUAGAUAUUGGAUGGAACACCGGUGGCGAAAGCGGCUCUCUGGCCCGGAUCUGACGCUGAGGCGCGAAAGCGUGGGGAGCAAACAGGAUUAGAGACCCCCGUAGUCCCUGUCUCUUAUAC